UGCCAGCCGCCGCGGUAAUACGGAGGGUGCGAGCGUUAAUCGGAAUUACUGGGCGUAAAGCGAGUGUAGGUGGUCCGGCAAGUCGAUUGUGAAAUCUCCCGGCUCAACCGGGAGGGUGCGGUCGAAACUGUCGGACUCGAGUUCGAGAGGGGAGAGUGGAAUUCCUGGUGUAGCGGUGAAAUGCGUAGAUAUCAGGAGGAACAUCGGUGGUGAGGACGGCUCUCUGGAUCGUGACUGACACUGAGACUCGAAAGCGUGGGGAGCAAACAGGAUUAGAUA
rnacentral:rRNA from 1 species